GACAGAGGUGCCAAGCGUUAGGCGGAAUCACUGGGCUUAAAGCGUGUGUAGGCGGAUGCCUAAGUAUCUUGUGAAAUCCCACGGCUCAACCGUGGAACUGCUUGAUAUACUGGGUGUCUUGAGCCAUCUAGGGGCUACCGGAACAAAUGGUGGAGCGGUGAAAUGCGUAGAUAUGCGGAGGAACACCAAUGGCGAAGGCAAUCCCCUGGGCCUGUACUGACGCUCAUGCACGAAAGCGUGGGGAGCAAACAGG
rnacentral:rRNA from 1 species